rnacentral:rRNA from 1 species
ACCUGCCGGCCGCGGUAAUUUGACCGUGCUAAGGUAGCAUAAUCAUUUGUCUUUUAAUUGGAGACUGGAAUGAAAGGUGUAACAAGAAAUUAGCUGUCUUUGAAUUUUAUUUUUUAGUGAAAAAGCUAAAAUGAUUUUGUGGGACGAUAAGACCCUAUAGAUCUUUUUUAUUGGGGCGAUAAAUAAUGAUCCUAGAAGAUGGAUUAUUAGAAUAAGUUACCUUAGGGAUAACAGCGUAAUAUUUUUUUAGAGUUCUUAUCGAAAAAAAUGUUUGCGACCUCGAUGUUGGAUUAAGAUGUUAUUAUGGUGCAGAAUUUGUUAAUAUUAGUCUGUUCGACUAUUAAAAUCUU